rnacentral:rRNA from 1 species
UGCAAGCGUUACUCGGAAUUACUGGGCGUAAAGCGUGCGUCGGCGGUUUGUUAAGUCCGUUGUGAAAGCCCUGGGCUCAACCUGGGAAUUGCAGUGGAUACUGGCGAGCUAGAGUGCGGUAGAGGAUGGUGGAAUUCCCGGUGUAGCGGUGAAAUGCGUAGAGAUCGGGAGGAACACCCGUGGCGAAGGCGGCCAUCUGGACCAGCACUGACGCUGAGGCACGAAAGCGUGGGGAGCAAACAGG